rnacentral:rRNA from 1 species
UACGGGGGGAGCAAGCGUUGUUCGGAUUUACUGGGCGUAAAGGGCGCGUACGGCGGCGCAACAAGUCACUUGUGAAAUCUCCGGGCUUAACCCGGAGCGGCCAAGUGAUACUGUCGUGCUAGAGUGCGGAAGGGGCUACUGGAAUUCUCGGUGUAGCGGUGAAAUGCGUAGAUAUCGAGAGGAACACCUGCGGCGAAGCGGGUAGCUGGGCCGACACUGACGCUGAAGCGCGAAAGCGUGGGGAGCGAACAGG